GCAAGCGAUACAAGACGAACCCAGCAAGCUGGACGCCGAAUUCCGCACUGGGAGCUCGAUCAAGGACCGCGACAACCUGUGGCGCGGGCAACAAGAGCAGCUCCCAAUCGAUGAUCAAGGAAACACUUCUAUAGCUCAUGGAUCCGGGAGGUGCUGGGGCAGGAAGCGCUUCUACAACUCGUGCAUCGGGGAAUCGAGAGAUUUCUCCAGACGUCGCUGUUACACCGGCAGAUGGAGCUUGUGAUUCCCAAGUUAGGGCGGAUGAAAAAGCGCGCAGAUUAGCACAGCAAUCACGCAGCCGAUUGUUUGCGCCACUAGGUAAUGUUGAUGUUAACUUCGCUUUUUACUGCAUGGUUUGGCACAAUGGAUGAAAAUGGAAAACCAAGAAGCUUGAAUAAGCAUGACGUUGGUUUUAACUUUGGCGGGAGUAAACGAUGGAGGGCACAGAGCUCAUGGAGCAUGGAUCCUAGGGCAAGCGGCGCAUUGCGGGAUCGCUCAUCCAUUCACGAGGUAAGAAUCAUCUGAAGCUUGGGUGGAUUUGGCGCUGGAGUGUCUUGUUUAGCUCACUCCAGGAGAAACCAUUCGGUCGCUCUUGCGAGUGCAUGCAUCGUCAACAACAGCAGCAACUUUUCUCGUCAAGCUGGGCCUCACCUCCGCACUGUAGAACUUGGCGGACCUCAAGCUGAGAGCCAC